rnacentral:rRNA from 1 species
GACGAACGCUGGCGGCGUGCUUAACACAUGCAAGUCGAACGGAAAGGCCCUGCUUUUGUGGGGUGCUCGAGUGGCGAACGGGUGAGUAACACGUGAGUAACCUGCCCUUGACUUUGGGAUAACUUCAGGAAACUGGGGCUAAUACCGGAUAGGAGCUCCUGCUGCAUGGUGGGGGUUGGAAAGUUUCGGCGGUUGGGGAUGGACUCGCGGCUUAUCAGCUUGUUGGUGGGGUAGUGGCUUACCAAGGCUUUGACGGGUAGCCGGCCUGAGAGGGUGACCGGCCACAUUGGGACUGAGAUACGGCCCAGACUCCUACGGGAGGCAGCAGUGGGGAAUAUUGCACAAUGGGCGGAAGCCUGAUGCAGCAACGCCGCGUGCGGGAUAACGGCCUUCGGGUUGUAAACCGCUUUCGCCUGUGACGAAGCGUGAGUGACGAUAAUGGGUAAAGAAGCACCGGCUAACUACGUG